GUACUCACUUUGACGGUGCAUAUACUGAAAUUGGAAGGAUAUAGAAUAGAUUAGCAUGGACCCUGAGCAAGGAUGACACGAAAAAAUGUCAGUAAAUCACUUGCCUA